rnacentral:rRNA from 1 species
UAGUCAUAUGCUUGUCUCAAAGAUUAAGCCAUGCAUGUCUAAGUAUAAACAUGAAUAACUUGUGAAACUGCGAAUGGCUCAUUAAAUCAGCUACAAUUUAUUAGAUCGUACACUGUUACUUGGAUAACUGUGGGAAUUCUAGAGCUAAUACAUGCCGAGAGUCUCUGCUCUUCGGGGCAGAGCGCACUUAUUAGACCAAAACUAGCCGUUUUCUUCGGAGAACGAAAAUUUGGUGACUCUGGAUAACCUUCAGUAGAUCGCAUGGCCUCGUGCCGGCGACGUAUCUUUCAAGUGGCUGACCUAUCAACUUUCGAUGGUACGUUAUAUGCCUACCAUGGUGAUAACGGGUAACGGGGAAUCAGGGUUCGAUUCCGGAGAGGGAGCCUGAGAAAUGGCUACCACAUCCAAGGAUGGCAGCAGGCGCGCAAAUUACCCACUCCCAGUUCGGGGAGGUAGUGACGAAAAAUAACAAUGCGGGACUCUAAGAGGCCCCGUAAUUGGAAUGAGUACACCUUAAAUCGUUUAACGAGUAUCAAUU